GGUAAAGUCGUAGAAUGAGAGAUGCAAGGGGGGUGGGGGUAUCGAGAGAAACAGGAAGCCAGAAAGCAAGUCUCUUUUUUUUUUUUUUUCUUUUUCAUUUUACUAGAUCAGAAAGGACAGAUAAGACGCUAGAAAAGCAGCAGAGAAAUACGCUUUUUUCUUAAAAAAAAGAAAAGGAAAGAUCUUUCCUUCCUGCUGAUGAUUGUGCAACAAACUUAAAAACUGUAAAUCUGACAGAAAGUGAAGGAAAACGAGGCCAGUCACUUCAUCGGUGCAAUGGAGCAGCUGCAUCGCCUCUGCUUCCUUGUUCUGCUCAUCUCUUUGGUUGAUCAAGGACAAACCCAAGCGUUACCUCAGAACACCACUCUUGCAAUGGAACAAGUAACAACUGAAGAACCUCCUUCUACAGACAACAACUCAACUUGGAG
rnacentral:lncRNA from 1 species